rnacentral:rRNA from 1 species
ACUCCUACGGGAGGCAGCAGUGGGGAAUAUUGCACAAUGGGCGCAAGCCUGAUGCAGCCAUGCCGCGUGUGUGAAGAAGGCCUUCGGGUUGUAAAGCACUUUCAGUCGUGAGGAAGGUAGUGUAGUUAAUAGCUGCAUUAUUUGACGUUAGCGACAGAAGAAGCACCGGCUAACUCCGUGCCAGCAGCCGCGGUAAUACGGAGGGUGCGAGCGUUAAUCGGAAUUACUGGGCGUAAAGCGCAUGCAGGUGGUUUGUUAAGUCAGAUGUGAAAGCCCGGGGCUCAACCUCGGAAUAGCAUUUGAAACUGGCAGGCUAGAGUACUGUAGAGGGGGGUAGAAUUUCAGGUGUAGCGGUGAAAUGCGUAGAGAUCUGAAGGAAUACCGGUGGCGAAGGCGGCCCCCUGGACAGAUACUGACACUCAGAUGCGAAAGCGUGGGGAGCAAACAGGAUUAGAUACCCUGGUAGGAUAGCG